rnacentral:SRP_RNA from 10 species
GCCCAGGGCCGACAGGCAGCAACCAAAACGAGAGGGGGGCGAGUGCUAUG